rnacentral:snRNA from 1 species
GGAUGUGAGGGCAAUCUGGCUGUGAUGUCUGUCACCCGAUUGAUCGCCAGGGUUGACUGGGCUGCUCUGGCUGGCUAGGCAGGUGUCCCCUUCCUCCCUCGCUGCUCUAUGUGUGUCCCUCCCAAAGCUGAGGACAGCCACCCCAUAGAGGAGGACCAUUUCCUCAGUCAAGGAUGUAGGAGUAGCGGCACUCCCCUGCUAGAACCUCCCAACAAGUUCUCUAAAGACACUAUAUAUUGUCUCACACUUUUGGAUAAUGCUUCCAUAACUAUGUCACCACUCUUACAGGUAUUGUUCCAGAAACUAUCCAGCAAUUUCUAA